rnacentral:rRNA from 1 species
AUGGCUAGACCUCGCGUUAGCAUCUUCCUCACGGCGGUCGCCAUCGCCGUCUCCAUGCACGCCGCGCCUAGCACCCUCCACGCUGCCCCGUUGGAGCCGGCUAUGGAGUUCUUCCAGGAAUGGUACACAACCUUCAAGAACACGUUGGAAGAAGACCCAGCCGAGGUGAUCGGGAAGAUAAAGGAUGCCGUGGAUAUCGGGCAGAACCUGCAUGAAGCCCUUGAAUCAAGAUCAUCAGAUGGCGGAGCCCGCGGCACGGCUACGGCACCGUCGACCCAGCAGCCGUACAUCGCCGCCGGCAACCUGAGGUUUCAUGUCGUCGCUGUCGACAUCACUAACCGGCUGGUCACAUGGACCAACAUGUGCGACAGGAGCGUCUCCGCGGCGCCGGCGGCCACGUGCUCCAGCCAGGCGCCGUCGAUGUGCGCCACGGCGGCGCGUCAGCCAAACUGCGGCGCCGCGCCUAUAUGCUGCCUCUACAGUGCUAGCGCAGCUCUGGUUCAGGGCCCAGUGACAUUGUCCGCGGGGCCUAACGGCCGGCCAUUAUAUCGCGGUUGCGCGGUCUACACGUGCAGGAUCGCCGACGGAGGAGGCGCCACCUCCGCCGUUGUCGGCCUCGGCAGGGGCGGCAUUCUCACGUCCAUACUCGGCGGAUUCUCCUAUUUCUUCGAUAGCAACCUUCGGACAAACCUUUGGCUGGGCCGCGACGCCGACGCGGCCUACGCGGAAGGUCGCAGCAGCACCACUCCACUAAUUAACAAUCGAUUCAACCCUAACCUCUACUAUCUCAGUGUCACCGGGAUACAGGUCGGUUCUAGGCCGCCGCUUGAGAUGCGGUCGCUCGAUUUGCAGGCAGAUGGCACCGGCGGUGUGUUCCUGAGCACGACCGUGCCAUUCACGUUCCUCAACAGUAACGCGUACCAGGUACUCAAGCGGGAGUUCCCAGCGGCGGGACGUAUGCAGACAGAGCUCGGCCGUGAAGUCGACCAGCUGUGCUACGCCGCCAACUCAGCGGAUCAGCUCCCGGCGAUCACGCUGGCCUUCACCGGCCCCGCCGUCAUGCAGGUGGAGGCGGAGAGCUGUUGGUACACGCAGAGCGAUGGGUCGGUGUGCUUGGCCAUCCUGCCGUCGCCGUGGAUCACCGGGGAGAGCGUCAUCGGGACCAUGCUGCAGAGGGGCAGGCGGAUGUCCUACGACCUCUUUGAGGGGAAAGAGGGGACAUUGACGUUUCAGAUAUCAACGGCGACCACGCCGGCGGCCGUGGCAGCUUCUGGGAGUGGGACAUCGUCAGACAUGCCCGCGGCCGCCGCCAGCAAGCCACGGUCGUCGGCCCCGGCGGGCGUCGACAAGCUGACGGCCGCUUUCCCAUUCCUUGGUGUGUGGGUGCUCCUGCUCGUGAUGAUCAUCUCGACCUAG